rnacentral:rRNA from 1 species
AGAGUUUGAUCAUGGCUCAGAUUGAACGCUGGCGGCAGGCCUAACACAUGCAAGUCGAACGGUAACAGGAAACAGCUUGCUGUUUCGCUGACGAGUGGCGGACGGGUGAGUAAUGUCUGGGAAACUGCCUGAUGGAGGGGGAUAACUACUGGAAACGGUAGCUAAUACCGCAUAACGUCGCAAGACCAAAGAGGGGGACCUUCGGGCCUCUUGCCAUCAGAUGUGCCCAGAUGGGAUUAGCUAGUAGGUGGGGUAACGGCUCACCUAGGCGACGAUCCCUAGCUGGUCUGAGAGGAUGACCAGCCACACUGGAACUGAGACACGGUCCAGACUCCUACGGGAGGCAGCAGUGGGGAAUAUUGCACAAUGGGCGCAAGCCUGAUGCAGCCAUGCCGCGUGUAUGAAGAAGGCCUUCGGGUUGUAAAGUACUUUCAGCGGGGAGGAAGGGAGUAAAGUUAAUACCUUUGCUCAUUGACGUUACCCGCAGAAGAAGCACCGGCUAACUCCGUGCCAGCAGCCGCGGUAAUACGGAGGGUGCAAGCGUUAAUCGGAAUUACUGGGCGUAAAGCGCACGCAGGCGGUUUGUUAAGUCAGAUGUGAAAUCCCCGGGCUCAACCUGGGAACUGCAUCUGAUACUGGCAAGCUUGAGUCUCGUAGAGGGGGGUAGAAUUCCAGGUGUAGCGGUGAAAUGCGUAGAGAUCUGGAGGAAUACCGGUGGCGAAGGCGGCCCCCUGGACGAAGACUGACGCUCAGGUGCGAAAGCGUGGGGAGCAAACAGGAUUAGAUACCCUGGUAGUCCACGCCGUAAACGAUGUCGACUUGGAGGUUGUGCCCUUGAGGCGUGGCUUCCGGAGCUAACGCGUUAAGUCGACCGCCUGGGGAGUACGGCCGCAAGGUUAAAACUCAAAUGAAUUGACGGGGGCCCGCACAAGCGGUGGAGCAUGUGGUUUAAUUCGAUGCAACGCGAAGAACCUUACCUGGUCUUGACAUCCACGGAAGUUUUCAGAGAUGAGAAUGUGCCUUCGGGAACCGUGAGACAGGUGCUGCAUGGCUGUCGUCAGCUCGUGUUGUGAAAUGUUGGGUUAAGUCCCGCAACGAGCGCAACCCUUAUCCUUUGUUGCCAGCGGUCCGGCCGGGAACUCAAAGGAGACUGCCAGUGAUAAACUGGAGGAAGGUGGGGAUGACGUCAAGUCAUCAUGGCCCUUACGACCAGGGCUACACACGUGCUACAAUGGCGCAUACAAAGAGAAGCGACCUCGCGAGAGCAAGCGGACCUCAUAAAGUGCGUCGUAGUCCGGAUUGGAGUCUGCAACUCGACUCCAUGAAGUCGGAAUCGCUAGUAAUCGUGGAUCAGAAUGCCACGGUGAAUACGUUCCCGGGCCUUGUACACACCGCCCGUCACACCAUGGGAGUGGGUUGCAAAAGAAGUAGGUAGCUUAACCUUCGGGAGGGCGCUUACCACUUUGUGAUUCAUGACUGGGGUGAAGUCGUAACAAGGUAACCGUAGGGGAACCUGCGGAUG